rnacentral:lncRNA from 1 species
CCCCACAUUACCUUCAUAGUGUUUACUAAUGAAGCAUUGAUCCUGCAGAACAGUAAUGACUUCCGAACAUCAUUCAUGAACAUCCAGUCGAGCAUAUCUAAGAUUUACAGUGUAUUUGUAAAACGAGAUUCUCAAUCACGAGCACGUAAUCGCACUCGACAACGACUUUUAGAGACAUAAAAAUUACCAUUUCUCGCACUCGUUUGACUGAAGUCGAUAGCUAAAUCCAUUUACAAUAGCAAUAAAGCAAAGAGUGCAAGAACCAAAACAACAAAAUGAAUCCUCUUCAGAAUGCCAUCUGUCUCUUGAACGUUACUACUCUCCCUAUCACGGAUUUCGCCUUCGGGAUCACGAAAGGGACGAGAGUAUCGAUGAUAAUAUCCUCGGGUCGCACCAUAUUCACCAGCAUUCGAAAAUCCAUGAACUUGGGCGUUGAAAUUUGGAGAGAAUGUCGGUAUAAAUCCAAACAUCAAGUUAGAGAUGUUACUUGCUCCUGGAGAUGGAGCCGUUUCUGGUCUCUGCCAUGUCGGUCGACUAGGGAUUUCAGUGCUGGGAACGGUUUUUGAUCUCGGGUCAGUUGGAACCUUUCCUCGACCGUACAAAGGAAUCAACUUUUCCUCUCGUAUUAAGGCGUUACAAACUGGGCAUCCUUGUGAUUGAGAGUAAAGUCGUAGCCAUUUAUAGAGACACGGCCAACAAUAUAGAUGACCACAGACGGUGAUUAUAGGAUCCGCUGCUAACUCGAAGCAAAUAUUGCACUCGAAAUCACCACCGUCAUCACUGCCAAUUCCCGAGGAUUCUUGGGCCUCGAUCGACAUUUAAUUCAAAUCCGAAUUUUCCUAAAGAUCACAAGAACAAUGAAUAAUAUUAGAAAGUAAAACCAGUUCAUAGCUAUCUCUUUAGGCCCUAAAAAUAAUUAAUUUAAC